rnacentral:rRNA from 1 species
ACGCUCGCUGGCGGCGUGCUUAACCCAUGCACGUCGAACGGAAAGGCCCUGCUUUUGUGGGGUGCUCGAGUGGCGAACGGGUGAGUAACACGUGAGUAACCUGCCCUUGACUUUGGGAUAACUUCAGGAAACUGGGGCUAAUACCGGAUAGGAGCUCCUGCUGCAUGGUGGGGGUUGGAAAGUUUCGGCGGUUGGGGAUGGACUCGCGGCUUAUCAGCUUGUUGGUGGGGUAGUGGCUUACCAAGGCUUUGACGGGUAGCCGGCCUGAGAGGGUGACCGGCCACAUUGGGACUGAGAUACGGCCCAGACUCCUACGGGAGGCAGCAGUGGGGAAUAUUGCACAAUGGGCGGAAGCCUGAUGCAGCAACGCCGCGUGCGGGAUGACGGCCUUCGGGUUGUAAACCGCUUUCGCCUGUGACGAAGCGUGAGUGACGGUAAUGGGUAAAGAAGCACCGGCUAACUACGUG